rnacentral:rRNA from 1 species
UACGUAGGGUGCGAGCGUUGUCCGGAAUUAUUGGGCGUAAAGGGCUCGUAGGCGGUCUGUCGCGUCGGGAGUGAAAACUCAGGGCUUAACCCUGAGCCUGCUUCCGAUACGGGCAGACUUGAGUUCGGCAGGGGAGACUGGAAUUCCUGGUGUAGCGGUGAAAUGCGCAGAUAUCAGGAGGAACACCGGUGGCGAAGGCGGGUCUCUGGGCCGAUACUGACGCUGAGGAGCGAAAGCGUGGGGAGCGAACAGG